rnacentral:rRNA from 1 species
AUUGAACGCUGGCGGAAUGCUUUACACAUGCAAGUCGAACGGUAGAGGGGGCAACCCCUUGAGAGUGGCGAACGGGUGAGUAAUAUAUCGGAACGUGCCCAGUCGUGGGGAUAACGUAGCGAAAGUUACGCUAAUACCGCAUACGAUCUAAGGAUGAAAGCGGGGGAUCGCAAGACCUCGCGCGAUUGGAGCGGCCGAUAUCAGAUUAGGUAGUUGGUGGGGUAAAGGCUCACCAAGCCAACGAUCUGUAGCUGGUCUGAGAGGACGACCAGCCACACUGGAACUGAGACACGGUCCAGACUCCUACGGGAGGCAGCAGUGGGGAAUUUUGGACAAUGGGCGAAAGCCUGAUCCAGCAAUGCCGCGUGCAGGAAGAAGGCCUCGG